AUUGUAGUCAUUCACAUGGUAUACAUUCAAUGUGGGAUUUUGAUUUGAGACUUUGUACACAUAAUAUUUAUUUUAUGGGGUAUUUCGGGAUUAUUUUACGUGCUACUGUUUUGUUCUCUCUCCUCCUCUUUAGGGAAGUUUUAGUUUCUGCCCGUGGAUGUAGGCUAAGGCCCAUACCACAUAAACCACUUGUGUUUGUUCUCUCUGUGUUGCCUAAAAUCUCGAUUUGCUACUUCUGCAUAACAGAAACAACUGUUACAAAAUACAGUGAGAACAUUCAGAACUAAACAUAUGCUGGUCAUCACUGAUGAGCUCUGUUUUGAAUCAAAGAAAUCCACAUAUUUCUUUAUGGUGAUGCAUCUUUGACUGUGAGGUGUCAGUACCUUAUUUCUUCUUUUUUAACUCGACGGUUCUCGCAUAUCCUACUGUCUUCCACACUUGAAACCCUCCACCGGAGAUACUUUUCUUAAUAAAAUUCUCUUUGGAGCUCAGUUUCAUCUCUGAUUAAACCGGUAACAAUUUGUUUCAUAUCGAAUAGUUUGUGAGGAUAUUUAACGGUUUUUGCUCUUUAUUUGCUAUUCGGUUAUAAGUUAUUUAUUCAUGUUUUUUCGUAACUUUUUUGGUUCGUGAUUGCAAGAAGUUCUAAGUAUUUUUUAUUUCUUUGGAUUGUAUAUGAAAUAUUGGUUUUGAAAUUCUACUUCUCCUCAAUUAUCGUAUUUGAUGUUUACUUGUUUCCAAGAGUAACAUAUUUCUGUUUGGUAGAUGAGCAUUAAGGGUUGAACAGGAAAAAAGAAAGACACUAAUCUUAUUCCUAAUUCUUUUUUAUUUUUCUAUUUGUUCCCUAGAAAUAUUAGUCUUCAUAUUUCUGUAUGUUUUCUGAAACGGAAAACGUGUCCUGAACAUGGAGAGGCAAUGCCUAAUAGUUAUUUAAGUUUUUAGAUUUUGAUAUUGUUUUGUUCUUAGUUUCUCUCUUUAAUGUUCCUUUUAUAUUUAUUCAGUACUUUCAAUUGUUAAAAUGUUGUUUAUUUCUGAGAAGGCUGUGAUGUUUCUGGUUAUGGGAAAGCCGGUGUGCUUGAUUUUUCAUUCCAGUGUCAUAUUUUGUGCUUUCUAUCAGAAUAUUUUAUAUGAGGUAAGCUCUCUUGCUUGCCCAACAGAAUUUUUUGUCUUUUUCCUUGUCAUCCCUAAUGUUCAUUAUCAAACAGAAAAUUCUUCAUAUAGCAUGUAAUAUGAACAUCAAAUAUAAGAACAAUGGAGAAGUGGGGUUUCAAAAUGAAUAUUUCACUUACAGUUUGAGAGAAUAUUACCUGAUAAACCAAGAUCUAAAAGGGAAGUUUGUUAAAAAGGGCAUUUCAGGUUAGGGUUUGAAGAAGUGAGAUGGAGCCUCCAUUUGGCAAAACUUAUAAACAAUAAUUGGUCAAACUUCAUUUUCAAUCAAACAUUUCAAUGACCCACAAGUGCCAUCCAAUUAUCUGUCGCUCAUCUUCUAUCUAUGUAGAAAUUAAAAACCAUUCAUAAAUUCUUCCUAAACGGAGGUAGAAAUUGUAAGAGAGUCCAUUGAGUGAAAAAAAGAGGAUGAAAUAAUAACCAAGUUCAUAUCCUUUAUUUGGCCUUUAUUUUUGAAAGAUGAUCAUUAUGCUAUUAGUUUAAAUUAUUAUAAAGAGAAACUGAACCUUUUGAUAGGCGGAGAACCAAAUUUAUCUACUCUGCAAGUCAUUCAGUCUGUUGCCCCCUCCCCUCCACUUGUGUAUUUCUCUUCUGGGGAUUUUCAGCUGUCGACAAUAUUAUUUAGCUAGAAGUAGUCAUCUAAUGUAACUCUUUCUUCCCAUUCUAGGCACAUUUUUAAGAGUGGUUGUAAGGCUUUAUCCUGGUCCAUUUUGUGUUUACACCUGUGAAUAGGUUUUUGCUGUUGCUGUUUGUCUUUGAGUAUUGCCAUUUUAUCCCUAUCCUCAUGUGGCAUUAUAAGACCAAUUGAGAGUGUCUAGUUGGUCCUUUUAUGUGACCCUACCAUCACAUGGGGAUGAGACUAAUAGCAUAAUUUUUCUCUCUGUUGUUGGGUUUUCAUUUAAUGUUUAGGUUUCUUAGCAAUGGUAACUACUGAUAGGGUCAAGGUCGUCUUCUACAGUUGUGGAUUGAUGUACAGGUUUGAAUCCCCCCACUCUUCUUCAUAUCCAUACAGAUAAAUAAGGGAAAAAGCAAUCUUGCUCCAAAUUUUGUUACAUCUUAAUCAGCUACUUCUCAUUGCUGUAUUUUGUUCUGUGUGAGGAUUGUUUUAUUGUUGGGAGACUUUUUUUUUAACAAAUGGUGGGAGAGGGAACUUGCAUAUAGGACGGUGAGAACUAUAUACUCGAAAGUGCGGCAUGUAUUAAGGUGGUCACUUUUUCGGAAAAGAUCAUGAGUCUGAUGAUUUAGCCCCCUGUUUAGCUAAAAAUCAGUUUUUAAGUAGAUUUUGAUGAAAACUGAUGAAAUAUGUUGUUGAAAAGUUGAUAAAGUUGUAGAUUCUAUGCGGGGUUGAAAAUGAAGCAUGAAGAAAAAUGAGUUUUAGAAAAUGGGGGUCAAACAUGGAGUUAAUACAAUUGGAUGGUCAUAUAAUGCUCUGCCAUUGAGAUGGUGGAGAGCGACUCGAAAACUUGGAUGAGUGUUGAAACAUCCAUCACAGAUGUAGAGUGUUGGGGAUUAUUGAUGUAUGUGUGACCAUCACAAUGCUGGAAAAUAAGUGUAGAUUAUUUCAUAAUUUUGUAUGGUUAUGAAGAUGCAAGGAUUGACAAUCUUAUAGAAACCCCUCUAAUCAUGCUUAGAAUCAAACAAGCAUCAAUAGACUAGAAGAACGAAGGGAUUUAGAGCUUUUUAUUGAUCAGGUGACAAUCGGAUUUGAAGUGGGGAAAAAGGAUUUGUAGUUCCCUGCUUGACUACCUCGGUCACGCUGCCAAAAUGGAUAUGAUAAUUUUUCCGGAUUAUGAAAUUUUUGUUGUACCGAGUCCUAUUUUUCUAAAAGAAACAUCAUUUUCCAUUCCAUU